rnacentral:rRNA from 1 species
GAUGAACGCUGGCGGCGUGCCUAAUACAUGCAAGUCGAACGAAGGUACUUGUACCUUAGUGGCGAACGGGUGAGUAACACGUGGGUAACCUAUCUUUAAGACGAGGAUAACUUCUGGAAACGGAUGCUAAUACUGGAUAGUAUAUAUUAACACAAGUUAGUAUAUUUAAAGAUCCCUUAAAGGAUCACUUAGAGUGGGGCUUGCGGCGCAUUAGCUAGUUGGUAGGGUAAAGGCCUACCAAGGCGACGAUGCGUAGCCGAACUGAGAGGUUGAUCGGCCACAUUGGGACUGAGACACGGCCCAAACGCCUACGGGAGGCAGCAGUAGGGAAUUUUCGGCAAUGGGGGGAACCCUGACCGAGCAACGCCGCGUGAAUGAAGAAGUAUUUCGGUAUGUAAAGUUCUUUUAUUAGGGAAGAAAAUUAUUUAUAGGAAAUGAUAAAUAACUGACGGUACCUAAUGAAUAAGCCCCGGCUAACUAUGUGCCAGCCGCCGCGGUAA